rnacentral:rRNA from 1 species
AUUGAACGCUGGCGGAAUGCUUUACACAUGCAAGUCGAACGGCAGCACGGGAGCUUGCUCCUGGUGGCGAGUGGCGAACGGGUGAGUAAUGCAUCGGAACGCACCUAUUAGUGGGGGAUAACUAUCCGAAAGGAUAGCUAAUACCGCAUACGUCCUGAGGGAGAAAGCGGGGGAUCGCAAGACCUCGCGCUAAUAGAGCGGCCGAUGUUGGAUUAGCUAGUUGGUGGGGUAAAGGCCUACCAAGGCGACGAUCCACAGCUGGUCUGAGAGGAUGAUCAGCCACACUGGGACUGAGACACGGCCCAGACUCCUACGGGAGGCAGCAGUGGGGAAUUUUGGACAAUGGGGGCAACCCUGAUCCAGCCAUUCCGCGUGAGUGAAGAAGGCCUUCGGGUUGUAAAGCUCUUUCGGCAGGAACGAAACGGUGGUUACUAAUACUAGCUACUAAUGACGGUACCUGAAGAAGAAGCACCGGCUAACUACGUGCCAGCCGCCGCAGUAA